UGCAAGUCGAACGAACUCUGGUAUUGAUUGGUGCUUGCAUCAUGAUUUACAUUUGAGUGAGUGGCGAACUGGUGAGUAACACGUGGGAAACCUGCCCAGAAGCGGGGGAUAACACCUGGAAACAGAUGCUAAUACCGCAUAACAACUUGGACCGCAUGGUCCGAGCUUGAAAGAUGGCUUCGGCUAUCACUUUUGGAUGGUCCCGCGGCGUAUUAGCUAGAUGGUGGGGUAACGGCUCACCAUGGCAAUGAUACGUAGCCGACCUGAGAGGGUAAUCGGCCACAUUGGGACUGAGACACGGCCCAAACUCCUACGGGAGGCAGCAGUAGGGAAUCUUCCACAAUGGACGAAAGUCUGAUGGAGCAACGCCGCGUGAGUGAAGAAGGGUUUCGGCUCGUAAAACUCUGUUGUUAAAGAAGAACAUAUCUGAGAGUAACUGUUCAGGUAUUGACGGUAUUUAACCAGAAAGCCACGGCUAACUACGUGCCAGCAGCCGCGGUAAUACGUAGGUGGCAAGCGUUGUCCGGAUUUAUUGGGCGUAAAGCGAGCGCAGGCGGUUUUUUAAGUCUGAUGUGAAAGCCUUCGGCUCAACCGAAGAAGUGCAUCGGAAACUGGGAAACUUGAGUGCAGAAGAGGACAGUGGAACUCCAUGUGUAGCGGUGAAAUGCGUAGAUAUAUGGAAGAACACCAGUGGCGAAGGCGGCUGUCUGGUCUGUAACUGACGCUGAGGCUCGAAAGUAUGGGUAGCAAACAGGAUUAGAUACCCUGGUAGUCCAUACCGUAAACGAUGAAUGCUAAGUGUUGGAGGGUUUCCGCCCUUCAGUGCUGCAGCUAACGCAUUAAGCAUUCCGCCUGGGGAGUACGGCCGCAAGGCUGAAACUCAAAGGAAUUGACGGGGGCCCGCACAAGCGGUGGAGCAUGUGGUUUAAUUCGAAGCUACGCGAAGAACCUUACCAGGUCUUGACAUACUAUGCAAAUCUAAGAGAUUAGACGUUCCCUUCGGGGACAUGGAUACAGGUGGUGCAUGGUUGUCGUCAGCUCGUGUCCUGAGAUGUUGGGUUAAGUCCCGCAACGAGCGCAACCCUUAUUAUCAGUUGCCAGCAUUAAGUUGGGCACUCUGGUGAGACUGCCGGUGACAAACCGGAGGAAGGUGGGGAUGACGUCAAAUCAUCAUGCCCCUUAUGACCUGGGCUACACACGUGCUACAAUGGAUGGUACAACGAGUUGCGAACUCGCGAGAGUAAGCUAAUCUCUUAAAGCCAUUCUCAGUUCGGAUUGUAGGCUGCAACUCGCCUACAUGAAGUCGGAAUCGCUAGUAAUCGCGGAUCAGCAUGCCGCGGUGAAUACGUUCCCGGGCCUUGUACACACCGCCCGUCACACCAUGAGAGUUUGUAACACCCAAAGUCGGUGGGGUAACCU
rnacentral:rRNA from 2 species